CUUCGCAGUGACUCACCCCCAUCUACUGUCUGAGCUGUGCAGCGACGCUUUUGAUCUAAAUUCGCUAUUCAGGACAAAAACUGCACGCCAAGCUCCAGCGACCCAGGAGCCGUGGAUCUUCUGACUUCCGAGAGCAGCGGAGCACGAGUGGAGCAGAGGGUGUGUGUGCACCACGACACAUGAACCCGUUCCUCCAAACUCCUCUAUUCAGAUGCACUUUACAGAAGAGAAGAAAAAAGAAAGCCUUUUGA
rnacentral:lncRNA from 1 species